UAUCUACCUUGAGCGGGUCCCGGAGGCUCCCCGGGAGUGAACCCCACGCACCCCCGAGCGCCUUGCGGGAGGAAUCGUUUCUAAUUCUCAGGCGGGGAAGCUCGAGGGGGGCUCACUGGGUCCCCUGACCCUCGAGGCUCGACCACUUUGCUCCAGGACUGAGUUCAGCCCCCCCUCUCCUAGUCCGCGCCUCCUUCCCUGAGGCUGCAUUUUGCUUUUGACGGGAAGCUGCCAGUUCCUUUCUCUUUCAGUAUUAUUAACAACACUACUCUGGCCUCACUCGUUGCCAAAUGGCUGGGGCAGGAAGAGAGAGAGAGAGAGAGAGAGAGAGAGAGAUUAAGAUUAUAUUUUGCCAGCUUCAGCAGUAAUUGGGUGGGUCCCUGAGAAUCUUUGCCCCAAGAUUGAGAAGCGGCAUGACCCAGUGGAAAGAGCACAGGCCUGGGCAUCAGAGGACCUAAGUUCUAGUCACGGCUCUGCCAGUUGCCUGCCUCAGUUGCCUCAUCUGUAAAAUGGGGAUUGAAUGCUUCUCCCUUCUACUUCUGAAUACUUAUCCCUUCUAUCGUGAGCCCCAUGUGGGAUGUGGACCGUGUCCGACCCGAUGAGCUUGUAUGUACUCCAGUGCUUAGCACGGUGCCUGGCACGUGGGAAGCAUUUAACAAAUACCAUAAAAAGCAACAUCAACGACAAAAACAUAACCUGAAUCAGUACAGGUCUCCCAUCAAAACUUUGCUCAUCCCAGACCGUGACCUAAAGGGCCAGGAACCCCGCCGACAGGACCACCAAGAAGGAUAUCAUGACCCAGCUGGCCACUCCACCCUGGGGAGGGCACCUCGAGGCCCUCCAGAGGGGCACAGGGAGCUGACGGGCACAGCUUUGGAAGAACCGCCCCGGGACGGUGGGCCGGCGUGGGCCUCAGUGACAAAGACCCGUUCAUCCCAAAGAUCGCUCUCAGGAUGCACCAGAGUCCUCAUGGAAAAGAAAGCCCCGACCUGACUAGGAACGACACUGCAGUCGCAGAGGAAGGUCAUUCCACACGCUCGGCGGAGACCUCCUGGAGCCUGGCAAGGCACCAUUUCAGAAGACGCCUCAGAGAACUCUGAAAUCCCAUUCUAGCCAAAUCACAUCCUCCCAGUAACAAAAAACUCCCCUUGAGGGGAGAACCGGCUUCCACACCCUACCCCAAAGGUCCCCUCGCAAGGAGGUAGCUUGUGUUUCAUACCUCCGAUACGGCAGCCGUGCCGGUGUCACUUGAACGAUCGCCAUUUCUCCGACCGCCCUUUGCGGUGGCCUGUGGCUCCACGGUACCGGAUCAUUCCUGUCGGUCGUGAUGAUGUUUCUCCUCCGUGGCUGAUGUCCUUACAUAUGUUUGGUCAGAAGGCAUGAGGCUUGGGGAGGUACUUUAUCCAGUGCUGGAGAAGAAAAACACUUCCAGCCACAUGAACCAAGAGGCGAAGGCCUCAAGCCAGGACAGGACACCCCUAGAGAGGACACUGUCUAGCUAAAACCCCGAGGUCACAAAGAGCCAACAAAAUCAUUUUCCUCGUUAGUCUGCCUUAGAACCCCUUUACUGAGCUGAUUUAAAAAUCCAGAUUUUCUUUCCCUUGCCGCUGCUGGUUGCUCGCUCGGUUUGCAUUUCACUCGACUUGGGAAGGGAAGUGAAGCAGUGUGUUUCACUUUACCUUUACCAAAGGUUCAAUGCACUUUCCGAUUCUCAAGCGGUACCCAAACAGCCCUUCGUUCGGGGUGAUCCAAUGUUUUCUUGCCCUUGGUAAAUCGCAUUUUCCCUCAAUUUAUCACAAAAGAACAUGGUUUCUUCAGCUCCUCACAGACAGUUGGAUUUCAGCUUUUGCUGUGGGGCUAGGGGGUUAAACUAUCAAACACCCCCCUUCCCCUCAACCGCCCCGCACGCACUUCCAAACAGGUUAGAUUAAUGCCCAGAGAUUUGCACAUGCUCUUGUCUUAAAACCCCAGAAUAAUAAAACAGAACCCCAAAAGUGUAUAACCUGCCUCUUUGUCAUUUGGGGUGUAGAUCUCAUUGCUGUCUGAGAGGCCCAGUCCCAUGAAGACAAUUUCCCACUUAUGGUAUCUCUAAAUAGGAAAAAAACCCAAACAACAAACCAUCCAGGGAAUUUUGGGCCUGACUCCAUGUGAAAGUAACAUUAGACUCAUGAGGCAGGUAGGAUUUUGGCCUAGGAUGGAAGAACUACAGCAUCCUCUGUGUGGGAAAAGGCCAGAUGAUAUCUGAGGGCUCUUGGUCUUCGUCUUCUCAAAGUCUAAGUUGGGCUCAUCCCUGGACCCACAUGAGAGUAUUGAUUUGGAGGUUUGGCCCCUAUCCUGUUCAUCUCUGGAGAAAGCAAAUUGGGUACCGUGACCUCUCCGAGAUGUAUCUGUCCCCAGCCGGUGAGAGGGGGAGCCUAUCUGGCCAAAUGGGAUCUUCUGGGGGUGCCUGGGACUGGGAGGUUUUGAAGUAAAGCGGUGUUGAGAGGGCGUGCCUGUUGUAGCUGAAGAUAGUUGUCAUGAAUAAAAACUACAUCAACACGGACUCGUGUUUGGCGUGAUCAUUCGCAGACCGCGGCCUGUCGUCGCCGCCCUCCAUUUUCUAUAGUUGCUUGUCAGAGAGAGAGAUGGCCCCAGGUGUUGUGAAAAGAGGAGCGUUUUUGUCCUUGAUUUUUCCAGGUUCACUUGGGGAAUCUCAAGAUUCUCUGGAUUAAAAUUCUGGUCUGUAAAGUGAAGGCGAGUAACGCUAGCCCUCCUCCCCUUUGCCUCAGACUUGCCUGGGGGAAAAAACUGCCGAAGGAAAUGAAUGUAAAGCAUGAAACAAUAUUUGAUACAGUCUCCCGUUUAUCAAUAAAGUAGCCACGUGGAUGCUUCCCUUCCCAAAAGCCGCUGCUGUGAACGUCUAAAAGCUGGUCUCUGCCUUAAAAAUGAUGGGGGGAAUGUUUAGGGCUGCUCUCUGCCUCUGUGGUAGCCGUUUACCCACUCAUGCUAGGCCUCAAAAUCCGGGUGGUCUCAUGUUGGGCGGGAGGGAUCAGGGAUACGGCUUCCAAAGAUGCUGUGCAGAUAUUAAGCUAUCGGGCCAGGUGGGCAAGUGCUUAAUUACAAGACUGAUUCACCGUGCUUCUCGAACUCCUAAUCUCACAAAGGGAUGGCUGCCAAAGCCUCGUUCUCAACCGGGAAGCCGUCCCAGCCGAUGAGUCCGAUUUUCCAGUCGAGCCGGUGCCUCGCUCCGGGUGGGAGAAGCAGCAUCGACCUGGCAAGGGCCUGGCGUCACACCGACAGAGGCAGCCGAGCGUCACUUAGCCUUUUUCGUGGCGAUGCCAAGGCCUUUGUUUCAUGCGACCUCCCGAGGACAGGGUCACUUCUCUCCUUGCUGUUGCUUUCCAUGAUUUAUUUUCAGCUCUGUGGGAACACCGUGCUUUCAACACUAGGAAGGCCUUUGCCUGGUCGUUACCCAGAACCCCAGGUAGAGUUUAUGGCAUUGUCCUGCCUCUGUUUACCGUGGAUCUGGGCCCUGGCCCAAGCCUCAUAAAAUCUCUGGGCCUGGGCUCUGGCUGUGGGUAGUCAGUCAGCCUUAUUGAAACUCCUCAUUGCAGCUACCUGACCCCAAUCCUCCCUGAAUUUUAAUAAGCAUUUCUGCAGCUAUUCCAUAAUU
rnacentral:lncRNA from 1 species